AAUGGUCAACAUUGCUGCUCUGCUCUUCAUGAUUAAAGUUGGCAGUGACAGGAGCCAGGUGGUCCUGAUUCCCAGGCUGCUGAAGGAGCUGGUGCCAUGGACCAACUGAAGGCCAUGUCUGAAAAUGAGUGGAAGAAGAGUAUUGUUGCCUCUUGUAACAAACAAGUUGGUAUGACGGUUGAAGAAGCUAAGGUGGCGUUUCUGAAGGCAGUCUGCCGUGGCCGACGUUCGGCUGUGCAUUCUUUGAAGU